rnacentral:sRNA from 1 species
UGACUUAUUAAAGUUUUCCUUGCAGGAACAUGCUUACCCUGCUGAUGAACUCAUGCCUUUAACCUGUAGAGGUCGAGUUAGAGGCCAAGAGCCAAGUCGCGGUGACGUUGAUGAUGCCUUGGGAAAAUUUUCUCUGACACUGAUUGAUUCUUUGGACACCCUUGUGGUAUUAAAUAAAACUAAAGAAUUUGAAGAUGCAGUGAGAAAAGUUUUAAGAGAUGUUAAUUUAGAUAACGAUGUAGUCGUAUCAGUCUUUGAAACAAACAUCAGAGUUCUUGGGGGUCUUUUGGGUGGGCACUCCCUGGCGAUCAUGCUGAAAGAAAAAGGUGAAUAUAUGCAGUGGUACAAUGAUGAACUUCUCCAAAUGGCAAAGCAGUUAGGUUACAAACUUUUACCGGCUUUCAACACUACCAGUGGCCUUCCUUAUCCAAGAGUAAGUACUUCUGAAAAAAUAGAGUCUUUAUAUACUUUCUUUGCUGUUUUACAA